AGGCCUUGGCCGGCCACACCUCUCGAUCGCAGAAUAAAAACAGGGCGAAUACCCCAAUGCAAACAGCAAACCGAGUUCCUUCUUCGCUUCCGCCAGCAACGCGGACGCGCAAAGCCUCGCCGCUGACGCCACGUCUCCAAUGCUCGCCGGCGUCGGCAGCCGCCGGCGAUGCCAACGAUCCCGCUGAAGCGCCCGGCGGCGCAGGCCGCCUGCGCCGCCUCCUCGCGUCAAUGCGCCCGCCGGGGCCUCUCCCGGUCCAGACCGGCUUCCCGACCUCCCUCGCGGACAUCGUCGUCAAGAACCACGGCCGCAUCAGGAACACCAGGAAGAGGCGCCGCGCCGCUGCCGCGGAGCCCCAGCAAAGGCGCAAGCUUUCGGUGGCUCGCGACGCGGCGGCACCGGCACCGGCACGCCCAUCCAAAGGCGCGGGCUUCAGCGUCCGCCAGGGCUCCUCUUGGUCUUCGCUGGUGGUGAUCUGGAGCAAGCAGCUGGUGGCCGCGGCCACGCUGGCGUCGGUGGCGCUGUCCUGUAUCGAGUCCGUCCGAAGCAAUCGAUGGCGCCUGGCUCUGGUCCGCGGCCACCAGCAAGUUGUCGGCCAGUAACAAUCUCAAGCUAAAACAGAGCAGGAGAUCGCUGCGCGCUACUCGCCAACAAGUUGCGAAACGGCAAGACGCUCCGCGGCACGGAUUCCCGGCACGGCGACGACGCACGCGAGCACGAGCACACCCGGAGACGCCCGGGCGAUCCAAAGCGUGGAGCCUGCCGUAGUUGCUGCUACCGCCGAGCCCACACCACCGCCGCCAGGUCGCUCCACCGUCGACGCGGAUGCGCAUUACCGUUUCCCGCGUUGGUGCGUUGGUGCCGACUGCAGAUCAUCCUCGCUGGCCUCGUCACCGGGAAGAUGCCGGCGCUGGCGCUGGCCGUGCUCUGCGUUGCUUUCUCCAGCUCAGUUGGGACUUGGGAGAGUUCCAGUUCCGUCCAUUGGUAAUGCUAAUGCUCCGAUUCAGCAAGGCAGGGCAGGUAGGUAGGAGGUAGCACAGCAGAGAGCUCCGUUGCGUCUAGACUUCCAGGUGGAGCAAUGAGCAUUGUAGACAGUAGAGCACGAAUUGUCUCCCCUGAAACGAGAAACCCGACCGAAUUUGCU